rnacentral:rRNA from 1 species
AACGAACGCUGGCGGCAUGCCUAACACAUGCAAGUCGAACGAAGCCUUCGGGCUUAGUGGCGCACGGGUGCGUAACGCGGGGGAAUCGGCCCUUGGGUUCGGAAUAACAGUUAGAAAUGACUGCUAAUACUGGAUGAUGUCUUCGGACCAAAGAUUUAUCGCCCAAUGAUGAGCUCGCGUAGGAUUAGGUAGUUGGUUGGGUAAUGGCCCACCAAUCCGACGAUCCUUAGCUGGUCCGAGAGGAUGACGAGCCACACUGGGACUGAGACACGGCCCAGACUCCUACGGGAGGCAGCAGUGGGGAAUAUUGGACAAUGGGCGAAAGCCUGAUCCAGCAAUGCCGCGUGAGUGAUGAAGGCCUUCGGGUUGUAAAGCUCUUUUACCAGGGAUGACAAUGACAGUACCUGGAGAAUAAGCUCCGGCUAACUCCGUGCCAGCAGCCGCCGUAAUAC